CAAAGGAUAUAGUAAUUGUGAGAUGUAUAUUUCAGAGAUCUCAAAAGCAUUGCUAGGUUCCAAACACACAUGGAAUAUUCCCUGGAGAACACACCAACAUCAGGGUGGUGAGACAGCCCUUUUGAGGUUACAGGAACAUUCCAAGCUUCAUAACAUUUACAGUGCGCGGUAUGAUUUUUUACCUGGAGUCUGUCAGUGUUCUGCUCCCUGCCUCCACCACAGCUAAGUGAUAGCCAAAAGCUCUCUGUCUGAGCUAAACCCACCAAUGCUGGCCUUAGAUCAGGAAAGCUGGCGUAAGUUCCUAACAGGAGAUUCCGGCUUUCAUUUUCAAUUGCAGAGAGGUGGUC